rnacentral:rRNA from 1 species
GUCGAGCGGUAACAGAGAGUAGCUUGCUACUUUGCUGACGAGCGGCGGACGGGUGAGUAAUGCUUGGGAAUAUGCCUUUUGGUGGGGGACAACAGUUGGAAACGACUGCUAAUACCGCAUAAUGUCUACGGACCAAAGGGGGCUUCCUUUCUCGCCUUUACAUUGACACUAGUGCGAUUGGCUUUAUGUAGAUGUAAUGGCUCAGCAUUGCCACGAUCCCUAUCUGGUUUGAGAGUGUGAUCAUGAUCACUGGGACUGAGACUGAGACCAGACUCCUACUCCUAGGCAGAGGUGGGGAAUAUUGCUAUUGGGGCGGGGCCUGAUGCUGACGUGCCGCGUGUGUGAGUGAGGCCUUCGCCUUGUAGAUCACUUUCACUUCUCGAGGAAGAGGAAAGGGUUAAUACCUGCUAGCUGUAUCUGUUGACUGACACUUACAGCACAGGCUAACUCCGUGCCCGUGCCCGCGGCCAAUACUGAUACGUGCGAGCGCUAAUCUGAAUCGCUGUUACUGAACGCGUACGCGUGCGCAUGUGUUAUGCUAGAUGUGAUGUCCACAGCCCUCGAGCCUGAGCACUGCAUUUGCAUCUGGAAUGUAAGCUGUGAUAGAGAGUGAGAGUAGUUUCAGUUGCAGCGUGACAGUGCAAAUGAGAUCUAGAUGUAAUACGAAUGCCGAUGCGGUGAAUGAGAAAUACUGGGCGUACAGGCGUCAGCAGGCGAUAUGAUUAAACGAGAGGUAAAAGCCCCGGGCUCAACAUGGGAAACUGCCUUUCGAGCUGGCAAACUAGAGUGUGAUAGAAGGAGGUAAAAUUCAGGNGUAGCGGUGAAAAGGGUGAGAUCUGAAGGGAAANCNGAGGAAGAAGGCAGCCGCCUGGGUCAACACUGACGCUCAGGAACGAAAGCGUAGGGAGCAAAGUAGACCACCUGGGGAGUACGACCGCAAGGUUAAAAAUCAAAAGAAUAGACGGGGGCCCGCACAAGCGGUGGAGCAUGUGGUUUAAUUCGAUGCAUCGGGAAGAACCUUACCUAAAAAUGACAUUCAGAGAACUUACCAGAGAAGGUAAGCCGCCUUCGGGAACUCCGAUCCAGGUGAAGCGUGGCGGUCGUCAGCUUGUGUUGUGAGACGCCGGGUUAAGUCCCGCAACGAGCGCAACCCGUAUUCUUAGUUGGGAGCAGGUACUGCUGACAAAUCUAAGGAGGCUUCCGGUGAGCACCGGAGGAAGGUGGGGACGACGACAAGUCAUCAUGGUCCUUAAGAGUAGGGGUACACACGUGUUACAAUGGCGCAUACACAGAAACGCGAGCUAGCCGGGGUAUUCGAAUCCCUCAAAGUGUGCCUUCGUCCGGGGGGGAGUGGGCAACUCGACUCCAUGAAGUAAGAAAGGAUCAUAAUAUUGUAUCAUAAUGACUCGGGAAGCGUACCCGGCCCUUGUCACGCCUCCGUCUCCCACGGGAGGGGUUCCUCCCGGAGUCCCUGUGUAAUCCCGCCG